rnacentral:rRNA from 1 species
GACAGAGGGGGCAAGCGUUGCUCGGAAUUACUGGGCGUAAAGGGCGCGUAGGCGGGAUGGCAAGUCGGUCGUGAAAUCCUUCGGCUCAACCGAAGAACGUCGAUCGAUACUGCUGUUCUUGAGGGUUGCAGAGGGAGACUGGAAUUCCCGGUGUAGCGGUGAAAAUGUGUAGAGAUCGGGAGGAACACCGGUGGCGAAGGCGGGUCUCUGGGGCAAUUCCUGACGCUGAGGCGCGAAAACGUGGGGGAGCAAACGGGG